rnacentral:rRNA from 1 species
AGAGUUGUAUGGCUCAGGACGAACGCUGGCGGCGCGCCUAACACAUGCAAGUCGAACGGAGGUAUUGAGACGGAAGCUUCGGCGGAGGACUCAAUACUUAGUGGCGAACGGGUGAGUAACACGUGAGGAACCUGCCUUUAAGAGGGGGAUAACACUUAGAAAUAGGUGCUAAUACCGCAUAAGACCACAUAGCGGCAUCGCUGAGGGGUCAAAGGAGGAAUCCGCUUAAAGAUGGCCUCGCGUCCGAUUAGGUAGUAGGCGGGGCAACGGCCCACCUAGCCGACGAUCGGUAGCCGGACUGAGAGGUUGAACGGCCACAUUGGGACUGAGACACGGCCCAGACUCCUACGGGAGGCAGCAGUGGGGAAUAUUGGGCAAAUGGGGGAAACCCUGACCCAGCGACGCCGCGUGAGGGAAGAAGGUUUUCGGAUUGUAAACCUCUGUCUUCGGGGACGAUAGUGACGGUACCCGAGGAGGAAGCCACGGCUAACUACGUGCCAGCCGCCGC